UACGGAGGGAGCUAGCGUUAUUCGGAAUUACUGGGCGUAAAGCGCACGUAGGCGGCUUUGUAAGUUAGAGGUGAAAGCCUGGAGCUCAACUCCAGAAUUGCCUUUAAGACUGCAUCGCUUGAAUCCGGGAGAGGUGAGUGGAAUUCCGAGUGUAGAGGUGAAAUUCGUAGAUAUUCGGAAGAACACCAGUGGCGAAGGCGGCUCACUGGACCGGCAUUGACGCUGAGGUGCGAAAGCGUGGGGAGCAAACAGG
rnacentral:rRNA from 1 species